rnacentral:rRNA from 1 species
GAUGAACGCUGGCGGCGUGCCUAAUACAUGCAAGUCGAGCGAAUGACGAGGAGCUUGCUCCUCUGAUUUAGCGGCGGACGGGUGGGUAACACGUGGGUAACCUGCCUGUAAGACGGGGAUAACUCCGGGAAACCGGAGCUAAUACCGGAUGAUAACGAGAAGCGCCUGCUUCUUUUUUGAAAGUCGGUUUCGGCUGACGCUUACCGAUGGGCCCGCGGCGCAUUAGGACGUUGGUGAGGCAACGGCUCACCAAGGCGACGAUGCGUAGCCGACCUGAGAGGGUGAUCGGCCACACUGGGACUGAGACACGGCCCAGACUCCUACGGGAGGCAGCAGUAGGGAAUCUUCGGCAAUGGACGAAAGUCUGACCGAGCAACGCCGCGUGAGCGAUGAAGGCCUUCGGGUCGUAAAGCUCUGUUGUCAGAGAAGAACAAGUACCGGAGUAACUGCCGGUACCUUGACGGUACCUGACCAGAAAGCCACGGCUAACUACGUGCCAGCCGCCGCAGUAAUAC